GACGUAGGGCGCGAGCGUUGUCCGGAUUUAUUGGGCGUAAAGAGCUCGUAGGCGGCUUGUUACGUCGUUCGUGAAAACCCGAGGCUCAACCUCGGGCUUGCGGUCGAUACGGGCAGGCUAGAGUUCGGUAGGGGAGACUGGAAUUCCUGGUGUAGCGGUGAAAUGCGCAGAUAUCAGGAGGAACACCGGUGGCGAAGGCGGGUCUCUGGGCCGAUACUGGCGCUGAGGAGCGAAAGCGUGGGGAGCGUACAGG
rnacentral:rRNA from 1 species